CACAAACUUCUUCAGCGUGAGUCCUUCCUGUGGGCUACUAUUGUUGAUGAGCUCUUCCAGUGUGGGUUCCUUCCACCGGGUAAAGUCUCCAGAAACAGCACGGUGCACAAGCUACAGAAGCAAAAUGCAAUAAAAGAGGGUUGAUCACUGAGGAAGUGUUUCAAACUGUGCUGUUCUCCCUGCUGUAUCAAAGAUUCAGUGGGCAAACCCCCAGCACUGUUCAUCAUAUCCAAAAAGAGUGGGCUGUGAUAUUGAGAAGACCACACUAAGAAUAGCAUGCCAAAGUGUCUUGCAAGACAGCAGUGAUGUUGGACACUUCACUCUUAGGAAAAACAAUCAAAGGGCAUCACUUUCUGCAAGGACUGAAACAUAACAACAGCAUUAGAAUAUAUUCUGUCAAAUGUAUUGAACAAAAGGUUAUGAUGAGCCUAUGGCAAAUAGACUCCAGUGGAGCACUGAAGCAAAAACGAGGAGAAAGGGAUUCUUUGUUUUCCUUGCAGCGCGAUAUCACAGUAUCACAGAAUGUUUUGGGUCAGAAAGGGUCUUAGUAAAGACCAUCUAACUUCAGCCUCUCUACAGUGGACAGAGACAACUUGCAUUAGACCGUGCUGCUCAGAGCACCAUCCAGCCUGGCCUUGAACACUUCCAGCGAUGGGACAUCCACAGUUUUCUCUGGGCAACCUGUUCCAGUGCCUCGCCACCCCCACAGGUGUUGUGGUGCAUUUUUGUUCAUUAUAUUUGAUUCAAUUACCUUCUGUAUUGUUAAGUUGUACCCCAUCCAUGUGCCCUCCUACCCCAGUUACCAAUCCACCCUGAUACCUACUCUCUCUUCCCAAAUGUUCCCUGUUCCCCCUCCCAUUAAGUUGCCAAUCCUCCCUUGUGCCAACCCCCUGCCUGGACCGCCCCGUUUGGAAUUCCUCCUAGCCCCAUUGGAUCAUGUGCCCCACUCUCCUCCCCUUGUGUUCCCCACUGGUUUAUGUAUUGUGUAUUAUGUAACCCCGCCUUCUGCUCCUCCCCUAAGUCUUCCCUAUUGGUUUAUUAUCUAUACACUCCCCUUGCUCCUCCCCCGAAUAUAAGUUGCUGUACCCCUGUAUCUUUUGUCUUUUGUCCCGGAAUCUUCAAGAGAAU
rnacentral:lncRNA from 1 species